UACGUAGGGUGCGAGCGUUGUCCGGAAUUACUGGGUUUAAAGGGUGCGUAGGCGGCCAUGUAAGUCAGGAGUGAAAGUUUGCGGCUCAACCGUAAAAUUGCUUUUGAUACUGCAUGGCUGGAAUCAGGAUGAGGUCAGCGGAAUGUGGCAUGUAGCGGUGAAAUGCAUAGAUAUGCCAUAGAACACCAAUUGCGAAGGCAGCUGGCUAGACCUGUAUUGACGCUGAGGCACGAAAGCGUGGGGAGCGAACAGG
rnacentral:rRNA from 1 species